AUUGAACGCUGGCGGCAUGCCUUACACAUGCAAGUCGAACGGUAGCGGGCCUUCGGGUGCCGACGAGUGGCGAACGGGUGAGUAAUGCAUCGGAACGUGCCAUUGAGUGGGGGAUAACGUAGCGAAAGUUACGCUAAUACCGCAUAUUCUGUGAGCAGGAAAGCAGGGGACCGCAAGGCCUUGCGCUCUUUGAGCGGCCGAUGUCAGAUUAGCUAGUUGGUGAGGUAAAGGCUUACCAAGGCGACGAUCUGUAGCGGGUCUGAGAGGAUGAUCCGCCACACUGGAACUGAGACACGGUCCAGACUCCUACGGGAGGCAGCAGUGGGGAAUUUUUGGACAAUGGGCGCAAGCCUGAUCCAGCCAUGCCGCGUGAGUGAAGAAGGCC
rnacentral:rRNA from 1 species